rnacentral:rRNA from 1 species
UUUAUGGAGAGUUUGAUCCUGGCUCAGGACGAACGCUGGCGGCGUGCUUAACACAUGCAAGUCGAGCGGUAAGGCCCUUCGGGGUACACGAGCGGCGAACGGGUGAGUAACACGUGAGCAACCUGCCCCUGACUCCGGGAUAAGCGGUGGAAACGCCGUCUAAUACCGGAUACGACCCUCCUCCGCAUGGUGGGGGGUGGAAAGUUUUUUCGGUCGGGGAUGGGCUCGCGGCCUAUCAGCUUGUUGGUGGGGUAAAGGCCUACCAAGGCGAUUACGGGUAGCCGGCCUGAGAGGGCGACCGGCCACACUGGGACUGAGACACGGCCCAGACUCCUGCGGGAGGCAGCAGUGGGGAAUAUUGCGCAAUGGGCGAAAGCCUGACGCAGCGACGCCGCGUGGGGGAUGACGGCCUUCGGGUUGUAAACCUCUUUUACCACCAACGCAGGCUCCGCGUUCUCGUGGGGUUGACGGUAGGUGGGGAAUAAGGACCGGCUAACUACGUGCCAGCAGCCGCGGUAAUACGUAGGGUCCGAGCGUUGUCCGGAAUUAUUGGGCGUAAAGAGCUCGUAGGCGGCGUGUCGCGUCCGCUGUGAAAGACCGGGGCUCAACUCCGGUUCUGCAGUGGAUACGGGCAUGCUAGAGGUAGGUAGGGGAGACUGGAAUUCCUGGUGUAGCGGUGAAAUGCGCAGAUAUCAGGAGGAACACCGG